AGAGUGUUGAAAAAAUGUGGAAUUACAGGAGAAUUAGUGAACAAACCCAUAAUAGAGGGUAUAAUUUCAAGGCACAGUAAAGGAAAAGGCAAACCAAGAAUAAGAGGAAGCAAUACCAUUUUAAGGCAGACUGCAAUUUAAUCACUAGAGACAAUGAACUUGUGUACAUUCCCAUCAUGCAGCAACAUGGCAGGGUAUGGAAAAGCUAACUUAUGCUCUUUAUUGUAAAUUGAUAGUACAUUAUUAGAAUAAGAGCAAUAUUAGGAUCUGACUAGCACUGUUACACAGAAGUAUUUCACACCACAGAUGUUACUACUGACUUUGGGAAUUCAGAUUUGUUAAAGGCACAUAGCUACUGUUAUCUGCUGCAAUAAAUUCUUAAAGACCCAAGAAUUAAAGUAACUUACACACUGGCAAGCAGGAUGGCAAAGGAUCAAAAUAACAUAUCACACAACACAAAACCAAAGUAGAUUUGGUGGUGUCUAGGAAUACAAUGUAGGUGUCUCCCUAAAUCUUUAUCAUAAUGUCCUUUCCACGAAAGAUAUAAAAGAUAGAAAGAGCUGAAAACUGAUAUGAGCAGAGUUGAUAUUGAGUUACUCCAUUUCUAUACUUUUCAAAUGUCCCCGCCCACCUCUUCUCACAAGCAAUUUUAACUUUUUUUCCCAGGCCAACGGGUGUUCUUAAAAAAAACUCCACUAUAGUAUUUGCUUCAGAGAUUUCACCAUAAUUUAUUGAUAAAUAUAGCUCAAGCUUAAAGAUUUUGCAAAAGAAUUUGUUUUAUGUGCAUCAUCUGUGUGUCACACCAGGGCAAUCUAAUUUUUUAUCAGUCAGACAAUAUACAGGAUCCUAUUGUGUUGUAGUAUAUUUCUAGGUGCAGUUGGAAAUAUAGUCCACCUGCUAUAAAAUGGUCCAAUUGCCCUUUCCUUUUGGGUGGAAGUAAUUAAACAUUUGGAUGGAGAAGAGAUAUUUAUGUGUUAGCUAUUUUUUUUAUUUCUAGACACCACCAUAAACCUCUGUGAUCUGAACUAAGAUGCACCUCUUUAUUGACUCACUUGCUCCCAAAAACUGUGUAGUUACUGAGACUUUGGAAACCCCCCAAGUCACGCCAAAUUAUAGCCUACAAUAUAAAUGUUGCUAGAAACUACAACCAUGGCAAAGUAAUCCUGUACCACAGCGGGAAAAACUAAAAAGUGUUUAUUCCUCUGGGAGCCCAGUUUGAACCAGUAUACAUGAAUAUACAGCACUUAGCCUACAUUUAAAUGCAGCAGCUCCUUCCUGGACAUAUUACUUUCUAAAUUAAGUAUCUUUUUUGUAAUCAUCUGCAAACUCAUCUAAAAUGCAACAUUCCUACCCCAAGGCUCAAUUACCUUUGUGUGUUCUUUGAUCAGCUUUGUUUGAGGCAGUAGUGAAUAAUUUUGUCCUCAUGCAUGUUGUUAGUGACUGCUUGAACGAAUUGAGACAAAUUGAUUGUAGGGCUUUUUCCAGUGUUGUUUAGUUUGCUGUUUUUGAACAUCAUAGAUUGUUCCAUCUUCUGGGCUCAUUCAAAGUGAACUCCUGGGUCUGUUUUUAGUCUUUCGAUUCUCUUGAUGUAGAUUUUCAUUAGGUUGUCUUGCCUACUUUGGAAAUGAUCAUUUUGUGUUCUUGUAACACCUCAGACAAGUCCUUCAGUUCAAUCAGCACAUCCAACAUUAAAGAAAGGUUUCUGAUAAAAUUUACAGAACGGAACUUGAGUGCAGUCCUUGAAAUUUAGCAUGUUUGCUUCCAACUCUCUACUGGUCUUGUGAGGCCUCCUCCAAGUGUUUUAUCAAAGCAGGCUAUGUUUGCCAGACUGUACUGACUGUGCUGCAUGUGACAGCACCAGCCUUAAACACUUUGCCAGAUUUUUUUUUUUUUUUUUUUUAAGUAUAAUGUGUAAUUCACUGGCAUGAACUCUCAGUUCAUGAGAGUUUUUGGCAAUUGACCAUACAAUGAAUAUAAUGCAUCCAAAAAAGCCUUAAAGUCAUUGAUACCUCCACUGACUUCUAAAGCUUCACCAGCAGCUAGUUCCAAUCUAUGGUUAAGGCAGUGCCAUAAUAUCACAUUAGGAAAGUCAAUUUUCAGUAGGUUUUCAAACACCAGCUUUUGAUUCCUAACAUCACAUUAGUGCCAUUACUACAAAAACAGAUCAACCUUCCAUUAAUAGUUUUUUAGUGAACCCGGAAUGCAGCAUUUUAAAAUGUUCCAUUUAGUGGCUUUUGCUGUUACACUUUGCAGCUCAAGUCCAGAGAAAACGUAACUGGUCUCAUAAUUCCAUCUAUACUGGCUUUCAAAUAAAUGAUGAUAAUUAAGUUUCCAGUGGAAGUAGUUGAUUCAUUGACAAGUAUAGUAAUUUUUUACUUAUUCUUGCUGAUACUUUGGACAAUUUUCUUUUUCAUUUCCGUGGAUAUAUGAUUAUAUCUACAGAAACUGUUCUGCUAUGCUAUAAAUGCCCCAUUUCAAUUCCGUUGAUUUGUUGUAGCUCAGUGAGGCCCUCGUGGUCACUGAGUGGUCGAUUUGUUUCGGCAAUGUAGUAUGCGGUAUGGAGUACACAAGCAGUACUUUCAGAUGCCAGUUGUUCACUUUUAGCAGUCAGAUUGUUUCUUUUUUUUAAGCCAGGCUUGAAUUUUCUCAGCAUCCAUGUGAAUUGCAGAUCUCGUUUACUUUUUUUUUUUUUUUUUUUUUUUU